UACGUAGGGGGGCAAGCGUUGUCCGGAAUCAUUGGGCGUAAAGAGCGCGUAGGCGGUCCGGUAAGUCCGCUCUGAAAGUCCGGGGGCUCAACCCCCGGGAGGCGGGCGGAUACUGUCGGGCUAGAGUCCGGAAGAGGCGAGUGGAAUUCCUGGUGUAGCGGUGAAAUGCGUAGAGAUCAGGAGGAACACCCGUGGCGAAGGCGGCUCUCUGGUCGACAUCUGACGCUGAGACGCGAAAGCGUGGGGAGCGAACGGG
rnacentral:rRNA from 1 species